rnacentral:rRNA from 1 species
AUGCCUCAGACGUUACUCCGCAGCAUCAAGCAGCUAGCCAUAUCUCGUCUCUCUCGUCUCACUCCUCUGUUUCUUUCCCGUCGACCACAGAGUGACAUUGAGGUUGCAAUCCAGCUAGAAGGCCAUCCUACAGUCUGCAGCAUUGCCAUGGACGCCACAAAGACAGCAGCCAAGGCUGUGGCGGCAGGAAACGGCGACGGAGACGCCGCUCCGUCCGCCGCGCCGAAGCCGGUGCCUCGGCAGGAGGAGCCGCUGCCAGGAGACGCGGCCGACCCGGCGCCUGCGAAGGCAACGACGAGCGCUACUGUCGCGGAGAGCGGCGUGGAGGACGAGCAGGUGGAGAGGUUCUACGCGCUGCUGGCCAACAUCCGGGCCAUGAGGGGCAUGAACGAGAGCGGGAGCGACGAUGCCGGCGCGAGCUCGGAGGGUGCCAGCGAGGUCUGCGGCGGCGGGAGGAAGCGCGCGCGCUGGGCAGAGCCGCCUUGGAGGCCGGCGUUCAGGAUGGAGGACUUCGAGGACGCCAGCGCGUCCAAGAAGGACAUGAAGGACGACGGUGCCGCCAGCCAUCGGCGCCCGGGCAAGGAGACCAAGGACGAGGAUGGCGGGAAGGAGGACGACGUGGCACGGAAUGGCCGUGGAGUCGUCACGCCGUCCCCAGAGAGGAAAGUUUGA